UACGUAGGUGGCAAGCGUUGUCCGGAUUUACUGGGCGUAAAGAGCGCGCAGGCGGUCGUUCAAGUCGCGUGUGAAAGCCCCGGGCUUAACCUGGGAAUUGCGCUUGGGACUGGAGGGCUUGAGUACGGGAGAGGAGAGUGGAAUUCCCAGUGGUAGCGGUGAAAUGCGUAGAUAUUGGGAAGGAACACCAGUGGCGAAGGCGGCUCACUGGACCGGUAACUGACGCUGGAGGAGCGAAAGCGUGGGGAGCGAACAGG
rnacentral:rRNA from 1 species